GGAAGCCGCCCUCAGGCCUAGCUCCGGACAGGCCCCGCCCUCGAGGUCCCGAGCUUUGGGGAGGGGCUGUCAGAUAGCUAGCCCGGCCCCUCCAGCCUGGCGGAAACGACCUGCCCUCCCGAUCCCGCGACCUUCUAGCUCUGGGUAACGGCUACUCCUUUGGGCCACUCUGUCCCUUUAGCUUGAGGGACCGUCCUCCCCUUCCCUAUCGGCCCCAGGAGAUAGCUGCCCUGUCACCUCAGCAAGAACAGGCCCUCUACCCAUCCCCUUCCCUUGAGGUGGCUGUCUCCUCUCCGCUCAGUUCUGGAAGAUGUCCGCUCCAUCUCAUCGUCCCGAAGGGUAACUGAUCUUAUCCCCAUUGGUCCCUUGGGAUGAUCUCUCCAUUUCCUACGCCCCGACAGAGACGGCCGCCCCCUCUCCCUGACAGUGGGAAACAGACUGCUCCCUACCUAUCAACUGCAAUGAUCUCUGAAUUCCUUUAGCAAGGAUAGGCCUGUUCCCCAUUCCUAGGCCCCUAGUGAUGGCCGCCUUUACCUCUUUCACUCCAUGGGAUGUUUGCUCCUUCCCCUUAGCCAGGGGCAAGACCACUCUGCCCCAUCUGCCGAGGAGAUAACAGGUUUUGUCUUCAGUGGCCUGUUGGAAUGGCUUCUCCAUCUCUUUUGUCCUGAAGGUUGGCAGCCCCCUCUCUCUGCCCAUGGGAAACGGGCCACCCUUUCCCACUGGUCCUGGAAUGAUGCUCCCUAUCCUUAGCAAAAAUAGGCCUGUUCCCACCCCCUUUAGCUUGCAGUGCUAUUCCUUUCCCCCUUAGCUUUAGGGGCUAUUUCCAUCCCCAUAGACCCCAUGAGUGACCAGUCAUUAUCUCCAGUAGCCCCCUUGAGAUGGGACUCAUGGGAUGGCCACUCCAUCCUCAUCACUGCCUCCUCUCAUCCCUCUAGAAAGGCCACCCUCUUCUUAGGUCAAUGAAUUGUGUCCCUCCCCCACUCACCCCAAGGGAUGACAGGUUUGUUCCCCUCUCCCUUUGCUCUUGGGCUGGCUGCUUAGCCCCAGAAGACAAGAUGGCCACUGUCUUAACUCAGCUCAAACAGGCUUCCCUGCCUCCCUGGAGGGAUUGGGACAUGGUCAGUCCCAGUCCCCAUCAAUACUGUCUUCCCUAUGCCUAGCCUCCCUGGCUCAGAAUUCUAUUCUCCCAGUCAUUGUCCUCUCAGUAAUGAUUACUUUUAUUUCCCUGACCCCUUCCCUGAGCAUACUCUUGGUGAAAAUAGAGGUAGAGGACUGGACUGCCCAACCUUAAUUUAAUCCAGUAAGCACUGGCUGAGCACUGUGCCUGCGUGCUUGGCAUCUGAGAAGGGAAGGAGAGAUCACAAUGGGUUGGUGAAGUCAAGCUUCAGGAAGGGGAUCCCAGGGAAAAGGCCCGCAUAGGCAAAAGGAAAUAGAUAUGCUAUGUUUGUAGGGCAGUAGGGAGACUGGAUUGGGGAAGUUUGGGGACCAGCGAGUCCAAUCAGGCACAGAGACCUGGCAGUGCUGAUCCAGGAGUGAAGACUGUCCUGAGAGUACUGGUGAACCCUGAAGUUUUACAGCAGGGAUGCUCACAUAUAUUCUGAGCUUCCUGCCUCUGUCAGAUCAGAAAGAGGCCUCCCUCGUGAGUUGGGCUUGGUACCGUGCUGCCCAGAAUGCCCUUCGGGAGCAUCAGUUUGGUGGAAAAAAGGAUGUCACCUCUUCCUGAGGAAGCAGAGAGGUGGGAGUGGAAACAUGGAGCUAUUUGCAGAGAAGUUCCUCAGAGGCGGCUCCUUCCUCAGCAGCCCCUUUGCUCAGUGGAUUUGGAGACCAGGUUGUCUCAGGAGGAGAGUGAAAAGAGACAUAGAGGUCAGGGCUUCAGCAGAGAGGACUGGAGCAGUCACAGGACAGGAGGAAGAUGGAAAAUUACCAGAGACACAUGGAGAGUGUGUGGGCAGCCUUUCUCAAGUGUUUCUGCUGUGCCAGGCACUGUGCUGGGCACUGGCAAGGCAAAACUGAGGAAGGCACAGGGCUGGGGAGUGUGUAGUGAGCACAGAUGAGUCAAAAGAGGCUGGGGUGCUGCAUUUGAAGUCUGUGUGAGGUACAUCAUGGGUGCAGAGAAAAGAUCAGAAAAGACUCCAUGGAGAAGGAGGUGUUUGGCCUGAGACUCGAGAGAGUAAUAAACAUUCGCCAAAUAGACCAAUAGGAGAAGGUGAGGGGUGGGACCCCCUAGAACAGAAAAAGCAGCUGAGCAGAGGCGUGCAGUACAGGACAGUGGUCAGAAGUGGCAGCCUCAGAACCAGGACUAGGAGGAAAGGGAACGGGCUUGGGAAGAGCUUGACUGAAGCCCUGGGUCCUAGAAGGGCUUGAAUGCUUGCUUAGGAAGCUUAGCCUGUGUCCCGGAGGUGUGCGGAACUGGCAGAGGGUCUGGAAAGCACAGGCAGAAUCGCCUUUUGGAAGGGUCACCUGGUGACAAAACCCAGGGUGGAUUGGAGCCAGAGAAACUGGAGGCCAGGACCUGAUAAGGAGGAAGCUGGCAUCAUCUGAGCUUAGAGUAAGGGGACCUCAACUGGGCAGAAGCAGUGAGAUUGGAGCAGAGGGACAGAUUGAUUGCACCAUAUUAGGAAAACAGAGUAGAAGGGACUUGGGUUAUUGUGGAUGUGGGGAGUGAGGGAGGAUUCUAGAAUCACUCUCAAAUUUCCCACUUGGGUGACUGAAUAGAGGGUGGGGAGAGUUUAGAAGGAGCAGAGUUGGAGGAUGGGGUGAUGAAUUCAGAUUUGGGCAUGCCGCAUCUCCCUCUGGAGAGAGGUCAAUCAGGCUCUUGGCUCCCAGGGUCUGGUGUUCAGGAAAAUGAUGUGGAUCGGAAAGAUAGUAGUUGGAAUGAUGGCCCCAUGGGGCGAAAUGCAGUUGGCCAGGGUACACUUGGAGGGUCGCAAAGAUCGUGUGCAUAUAUGCGCGUGCACACAUGUAUGUGUGUUGUUGGGUGGAACAAACCACGGGGAACCCACUCAUCUGUGGACUGGAUCUCUGUUCUUUGCUGACCCCAAAAGAGCCUGAAGAGGAGCAGGCUAGAAGGUAGCAGGAAAGCCAGGAGGGCAGAGUUGCAGAACCCCAGUGGGAGACGGCAUCAAGGGGAGUGGUUGCUGGCCAUGCAGAGCAGGAGACAUGGCAGAGAGAUCCCUGGUGGGAGGUCUGAGGUGAAGCCCCCACAUGUUGGUGACCUUGCUGGAAGGGAGCCAUUGCCAGGAAUGCAUGAUCCUGUGGGGACCAAGGUGGAGGAGUGAGCAGGUGAGGCGAAGGGCAACAAGUGGCCGGACAGCAGGCAUGCCUGUGCCUGUGUGCUUCCAAGAAGUGUGGCUGUAGAGGGAGGGGAGAGAGGAGAGACAAGAGGAGGGGGUGCAGGAUGAAAGGAGGCUUUUAUUUGCAGUUUAAGACUCUGGGGUGUUUGUGGCCUCUGAAGAAGGAGCAGUGGAAAGGAAGAAACAGCAGGGUUCUCAGAGGAGGUGCAGUGGGUAAAGGAGGCCAGAAGAGGUCUUCUGGAAGCAAAAGAGCAGGAGAAGGAGGAAAGUUCAGAUGGGCCCUGCCUGGAGGCAGCUGGUGGACAUGAACAGGGGAAAGGGAGGGACUUCCCACUUGAUGGCCAUCUCUGAGAAUCCUGGGUGAGGGAGGGUGUAUCAGUAGGGCCAGGAGCUGGAGUGGGAGGGGCUUGGAGAGAAAACUUGUCUGGGGUGGGAAGUGAGCAAGGAGGCCAUGACUUCCUGGGCGGAGUUCUGUAUCCCUGGUACAGACUCAGAGGAGGCAGCUGGUCUCACCAGUCCUGGCCGGGCCAGGAGAAUGGGUACAGCAGCAUGACUGAGGCAGGGCAACAAGGACCCCGAGGAGAUGUCAUCACAGGCAAAGCCUCAUGGAGCCCAGCAAAGACGGGGCAGUCAGAGGAGCCUAAGGGGGGCAGCCAGGCCCUGAGGCGCAGAUAGGAUUGGAGUGGGUGAGGGCUGGAGGAAGGAGAUGGAAGCCAGAGUCAGUGUUUUAGAGCGGGAGCUGCUCCAGCCAACUAUGCUCUCCAGAUAGAAUGCGGACAGAGACAGAUGACAGAGCCUUGGGAUAACCAAAAACAAGAAAAAGAAAAAAGGAAUGUUGACAAAGACCCUUUAGUGCCUCUGCAAAACUCAGCCCCACCUAGGCUGGGAGCAUUGGGAAGCCAGGCCACAGGUACCUGGCAUCACCCCUACCAUGUGCCUGAGAGCACCUGCGGGACCCUGCAGGCAGGAACCAUCUCCCAGGGCUCAGGCAUGGGCAGGUGGAUACUGAGGCAGUACCAGUUAGGUGCCAGUUAGGUGCUAUGGAAGACACAGGCCCAGCUAGGGUAGGACACUGGUCUUGGGGACUUACUGUCCCUGACCAGUCCCAGCUGUUCCCUUAAUCCCAAUUUUCUCAAAUAAGGAUGCCGGCAAAGGCAGCACCCUCCAUAUACACCGGCCCUGUCCGUUCCUGUGGGGAGCCCUGGCUACCUGCUGCUGGUUGGUCCCCAUGAAGCAAUAGCUGAAGAGAGCUCUUUGCGCCCUCCCCUUCCGGAGGGAUUGAUGAAGUCCUGGAGCAGCCUCUGUAUGACCCACCAGUCUGACUCCUCUCUAAAGACCAAUGCCCUGGGUGCCAGGGCAUACAUUUCCCAACGGCCUCCUGGAGAACAGGCAUGGUAGCUUUGGAGUCCUAUAUUAGGCAGGAUGAAGGGCCAUUUUCUCUGUCACAUGGCUUUCCAAGUCUGUACACAGGCCUGCAGUCUCAGUUCAGGGCUUCACUAGGUAAAACAAAACCCUGGUCUCCCACAGACAAGGUACAUACAUCAGGCCGGGUGCGGUGGCUCAAGCCUGUAAUCUCAGCACUUUGGGAGGCCGAGACGGGCGGAUCACGA